ensembl:rRNA 5S_rRNA 5S ribosomal RNA
GCUUACGACCACACCGGCCUGAGUACGCCUGAUCUCGUCUGAUCUCGGAAGCUAAGCAGGGUCGGGCCUGGUUAGUACUUGGAUGGGAGACUUCCUGGGAAUACCAGGUGAUGUAAGCU